rnacentral:rRNA from 1 species
UGCAGUCGAACGGCAGCAUAGGUGCUUGCACCUGAUGGCGAGUGGCGAACGGGUGAGUAAUGCAUCGGAACGUGCCCAAUCGUGGGGGAUAACGCAGCGAAAGCUGUGCUAAUACCGCAUACGAUCUACGGAUGAAAGCGGGGGACCUUCGGGCCUCGCGCGAUUGGAGCGGCCGAUGUUAGAUUAGGUAGUUGGUGGGGUAAAGGCUCACCAAGCCGACGAUCUAUAGCUGGUCUGAGAGGACGACCAGCCACACUGGAACUGAGACACGGUCCAGACUCCUACGGGAGGCAGCAGUGGGGAAUUUUGGACAAUGGGCGAAAGCCUGAUCCAGCAAUACCGCGUGCAGGAAGAAGGCCUUCGGGUUGUAAACUGCUUUUGUACGGAACGAAAAGGCUCUUUCUAAUAAAGAGGGCUCAUGACGGUACCGUAAGAAUAAGCACCGGCUAACUACGUGCCAGCAGCCGCGGUAAUACGUAGGGUGCAAGCGUUAAUCGGAAUUACUGGGCGUAAAGCGUGCGCAGGCGGUUUUGUAAGACAGGCGUGAAAUCCCCCGGGCUCAACCUG